CACACAAACACGCGCCGGCAGUCCCACGAGGUGCUGGGCGUCUGCCGCGUCUCCGGACGGACUGGGGGCGCAGAGAAACAAGAGUGAGCCCUGCCCUCCGGGAGUUCACGGGUCCGCGGUGGAGACGCGUCACAACAACGACAGGUAAAUUCCUACACAUCCUUCAAGACUCCUCAAAUACCAAGACACGGUGGAAAGUUCAUCCAUUGUGAAAUUAGGAAGAUCUGGGAGGUGCAACUAUAGAACCAUCAGUUACCAGCUAUGUGGCACUGAACAAGUUACCUAAGCUUUCUGGUCCUCAAUUUUCUCAUCUGUAAAAUGGACAUAAACGGGUACCUCUGAGAGAUUUUGUGGGAAGUACAUGUGACAGUAUGCGAGGAGAGCCUGGAACAUGACAGGCAUUCUGUGGCAUCUGUGGAAGCUAAUAUUACUCCACCAUCUCCUCUGAAGCCUCCUCUAGCCCAGUCCACACUGAUGUGGCAGUUGCUCCUUCCUCUGUCCUCCCAUAGCAUUUUAAACCCCGCACUAUUGCCAUUAUUCAUGUUCAAGUCUGUCCCCUAUACCUUGUGAGUCCUCACAGUUCCAGUCAUUUUUUUACUCUGCCAACCCAGAAAGGCACCUAGAAGAUGUGCUCAGUUAAUACCAUUAAGUGAAUGAAUGAAUGAGUGAAUGAGAGACUUUGUGUCUGCUUUUGCGAUUGUGUGAAUUGUAACAGACAGGUGGGCAGAUGGGCAACACUUAAAAUGGCCAUGCUGUGCAAGUCAGCAGAUACAGAUAGGUUUGUUUUUGUCCACCGGGGAAGACAGUUGGUCUGCCCUCCUCCUCCACCUCCACUCCCUGCAUUCAUCAGAGUAAAAGAGGCUGUUUGUUUGUUUUAAGAUUUUAUUUUUAAGUAAUCUCUAUACCCAGCGUGGGACUCGAACUCACAACCCAGAAAUCAAAAGUCUCACGCUCCACGAACUGAGCCAGCCAGGCACCACCCCUCAUCACAGUAAAAGAGGUUUUGUUCAGAAAGGCCUUAUCUGUAAUCUCAGCUCAAGCGUAAGAGCCACAUUUCUUUCAGAACUGGGCAGGAUGGCCUCUCCUCUCGGCCCAUGCUUGUAGGGGAGCCUGCAAAUCACACACACACACACACACACACACACACACGUGUGAAAGAACACGUGGCUCUUCUCUUACUUGAGAUGUGGCACUAGCACCAGGAUGCCCCCUCUCCCAAGUAACACCGUUUAGACCCCAGGGCACUGCUUCUCCGUGUGUCCUGCCUUCUGCCCUUGAAACAAAAGGCAUGUGAACGUGCGGGGCUUGUGGGUUGUACCACCACCAGUGCGGACACGCUGCUUCAGAGGGCCAGUGGGAUAGGAACCGUAGAGGUGAUUCGGUAAAAGACAAAUCCACGGUGCCUGGGUGGCUCAGUCGUUAAUCGUCUGCCUUUGGCUCAGGUCCCGGCUCCUUGCUCCAUGUUGGAAGCCUUCUUCUCCCUCUCCCACUCCCCCUGCUUGUGUUCCCCCUCUCCUGUCUCUCUCUCUGUCAAAUAAAUAAAUAAAAUCUUUUUUUCUUUUUUUUUUUUUUAAGAUUUUUAUUUAUUUAUUUGAGACAGAGAGAAUGAGAGAGAGAGAGCACAGGAGAGGGGUAGGGUCAGAGGGAGAAGCAGGCUCCCUGCCAAGCAGGGAGCCCGAUGCGGGACUCGAUCCUGGGACUCCAGGAUCAUGACCUGAGCCGAAGGCAGUCGCUUAACCAACUGAGCCACCCAGGCGCCCAAUAAAUAAAAUCUUUUAAAAAAUAAAAUAAAAGUAAAAGACAAAUCCACCUGUCACAUCCCUCCACUGAGACACCUUGACUGCAGUAGAUCCUUAGGUAACAACAUGCCAUUUCCCGCCAGUGCCAAGUCUCCAUCUUCCUGUUUCUCUAACAUAAAAUUCCAGAGGGACUCCCAAAAAUUAGUGCAGUAAAUGCAACAGUUCACGUGGAGGCUAAGGAAUAUUUUUCAUUACGAAACAAUUCAUAUUACUCUCUCCUGUACAGAUGUAGGUCUAGGCAUAACAUACAUGAAACAUGCUACUAAGUCAAAGACAUGGAACACCAGAAUCACAAAUAGCUUCUUCAUAAUCAUAUUUAAUAAGAUUUCAUUACAUUCUCAAAAAGUCAAGUAAAAAUUUUAACUGUAAAUACUUGAAAUUUAAUUUUUCACAGGUUAAUUAUCAAUUAUAUUUCUUUCCUUUAACUUUUGUAGAUAAUUUUGAAUAUUUUAGAAAAAUAGCUCUUGAAAGCAUAAAAAAUAUUUUGAAAUUGAAUUUAUUCAAUUCAUUUUGAAAAUGAAUCUAUUAUUACCAUAAUAUAUUCUAAUUUUGUAAUAAUUGAAUUUAGUCAUCUUUGAUAUUUUGCCAAUUUUUAGUCAUAUAGAAGCCAUAACUUUACACCUAUUUGUCAAUGUAGGAGGAUCAAACAUAAUUUAUUCAACAAUUGUUUGGCUUGAUUUACAGCCUUUAAAUAUUUAGGCAUCUGACUUAGGGGCUCCCAUUUUUUGUUUCCCAGGCCCUGCAAAUUUUGGGGUACACCUGCCUGUAACUGCCCUGGUCAAAGGACUUGGGUUGCCUAAGUGGAAACGCUAGAUUGAUUGAAGAUGUAAAAACACAGGGAUUUUCUGCAAUAAAAAGGAAUGGAAUAAUGACAACAUGGAUGAACCUUGAAAACAUUAUGCUAAGUGAAAGAAGCCAUACGUAAAAGGCCACAUAGCAUAUGAUUUCAUCUGUAUGAGAUGCCCAUAAUGGGCAAAUCCAGAGACAAAAAAUAGAUGAAUGGUUUCCACGGGUUGGAGGCAGAGGAGCGUGGGAAGUGACGGUUAAUGGGUACGGGGUUUCUUCCAGGUGAUGAAAUGUUCUAAAAUCGAUUGUGGUGGUGAUUGCACAACUCUGUGAAAAUACUAAAAAAUAUUGAAUUGUAUGCUUUAAAUGAGUGAAUCCUAUGAUAUAUAAAUUAUAUUGCAAUAAAGCUGCUUAAAAAUGCUUAGCACAGUGUCUAAUGCAUAUUUCCCAAUCCAUGAAUGUUAUUUAUUAUAUAAUGUAACAGGAGUCCACUCUUAUCUUGCCUAAAUGUGUCUAAGUUUGAACCCAGAAUUUCGGACUCCUAAUUUAUCUACAGAUACAUUGGCCAAUGUACAAAGUGACUCAUUGUGACAUUGUUUAUAAUACCAAAAGAUUGGAAACAACCUAAAAGUCCAUUGGUGGGAGGAAUGGUUACAUAAAUUAUGAUACAUCCAUUCAUAAGAAUAUAAAACAAUCAUUAGAAAGAGAAGAAGGAAGCUCUUUACAUAUUGAUAUGAAACUAUCUCCAAGAUAUGUUAGGAGAAAAAAAAUCAGAUCCAAACAGGUAGAUGACAGAUACAUGAUAGAACAUGUGUGUGGACAUGGGCGCCUGGGUGGCUCAGUUGGUUAAGCGACUGCCUUCGGCUCAGGUCAUGAUCCUGGAGUCCCGGGAUCGAGUCCCGCAUCGGGCUCCCUGCUCGGCGGGGAGUCUGCUUCUCCCUCUGACCCUCCCCUCUCUCCUGUGCUCUCUCUCAUUCUCUCUCUCAAAUAAAUAAAUAAAAUCUUUAAAAAAAAAAAAAGAA